GGGCCCGCACAAGCGGUGGAGCAUGUGGUUUAAUUCGAUGCAACGCGAAGAACCUUACCUACUCUUGACAUCCAGAGAACUUUUCAGAGAUGAAUUGGUGCCUUCGGGAACUCUGAGACAGGUGCUGCAUGGCUGUCGUCAGCUCGUGUUGUGAAAUGUUGGGUUAAGUCCCGCAACGAGCGCAACCCUUAUCCUUGUUUGCCAGCGAGUAAUGUCGGGAACUCCAGGGAGACUGCCGGUGAUAAACCGGAGGAAGGUGGGGACGACGUCAAGUCAUCAUGGCCCUUACGAGUAGGGCUACACACGUGCUACAAUGGCGCAUACAGAGGGCAGCCAACUUGCGAAAGUGAGCGAAUCCCAAAAAGUGCGUCGUAGUCCGGAUCGGAGUCUGCAACUCGACUCCGUGAAGUCGGAAUUGCUAG
rnacentral:rRNA from 1 species